UAACGCGUGGGAAUCUACCGUACCCUACGGAAUAGCUCCGGGAAACUGGAAUUAAUACCGUAUACGCCCUUAGGGGGAAAGAUUUAUCGGGGUAUGAUGAGCCCGCGUUGGAUUAGCUAGUUGGUGGGGUAAAGGCCUACCAAGGCGACGAUCCAUAGCUGGUCUGAGAGGAUGAUCAGCCACAUUGGGACUGAGACACGGCCCAAACUCCUACGGGAGGCAGCAGUGGGGAAUAUUGGACAAUGGGCGCAAGCCUGAUCCAGCCAUGCCGCGUGAGUGAUGAAGGUCUUAGGAUUGUAAAGCUCUUUCACCGAUGAAGAUAAUGACGGUAGUCGGAGAAGAAGCCCCGGCUAACUUCGUGCCAGCAGCCGCGGUAAUACGAAGGGGGCUAGCGUUGUUCGGAAUUACUGGGCGUAAAGC
rnacentral:rRNA from 1 species